rnacentral:lncRNA from 1 species
GGGAUGAAUUGUUCCCUUUUUCGUAUUGCUAAUAUUUAUACCCAUAUUCUGUGAUGAUUAUCUCUUCUAUCUUUACAUGAGACUUUUUAGUGAGCUCUAUUCCCUUUAGUAAAUCUCCAGGCUAAGCAAACAAAUAAGUACCAAUACUUCCACUUAAUGUACAUUUGGUGCUAUGCCCAGCAUCCAGCAUCACUGGAUGAGAGAAGAUACUAAUACCUAUUAAUUACAAUAACUUAAGAAAAAGCCAUAAACUAAUAAAUCUUAAAAAAAUAUUAAGGGUAUUUUCCACAAUUUCUCUGUAUUAGUCAGUUUCGUGUUGCUGGUGACUAAUAUACCUGACAAGAACAAAUUAGAGGAUGAAUACCUUAUUUUGGCUUCCCAGUUUCAGAGGUUCAAUCCAUGGUUGACUGACUCCAUAGCUGUGCACCUGAGGUUAAAUGACUUCAUGGUGGAAAGGAAUGGCAGAGGAAAACAAUUUAGGACAUGACAGUCAGAAAGGAGAGAGAGAGAGAGAGAGAGAGAGAGAGAGAGAGAGAGAGAGAGAGAGAGAGAGAGAGAGAUAUUCCAGGGACAAAUUAUAAACCCCAAAGACACAACCCCAGUAACUUACUUACUUCAGCCACCCCCUACCUGUCUAUAGUUAUCACCCAGUUAGUUCAAAGACAUUAAUCCACUGGUUAGGUUACAACUAUCAUAAUCUAAUAAUUUUAUCUCUGAAUAGUCCUGCAUUGUCUCACACAUGAGCUUUUGGAGGGCACAUCAUAUCCAAACCACAACAUCCUCCAAUCCAAGUAUGAAAUGGGAGUAAUGAUCUUGAAUACAUUGAGAAAUUAAGUAUUGAAGAUAAUAUAAUUACUAUUAAAGUAUAUAGGGGUUGAAAAUGGAAAAAAAGAUGGAUAUAUAAAAUAAGAAUAAAGAAAGAAAAGAAGAAAAUAAUACAGAGAUAAAAAGAAGAAACUAAGGGAGUGGGGUUUGAGACAGGAUCAGAUAAUGCAAGAGAGGAAAGAGACUGAAUAGGAACAAGUAUAAAUUUGAGCUAGGAAAAGAAAAUAGGGUAAUUUCAAUUAAUGCUUUAAAAACAUCAUAAGAAAUACAUUUAACUGGGAUGAGGACUAAAAUAAUGAACAAUAAGAGAAUGUCAGUUAAGUACAAAUAGUAACGUUAGAGCUGUUUACUGAUAUUUCAUGCCAAGGUAUUGGAGGUGUUGAGAUAGAUAAUUGGGUCUUCCUUAUUUGGACUUUACCUCUAAGUUUUACUGGGUGUGGAGGUAGUGAUCACACUAGCAUACCUCUGAUACAAUUUUUAGGAGGCCUUCUCCAUUCAUUGAUGUGUAGAGAAGAUGAUUCCUAAUUGUCUGUGGCUUGGCAGCUAGGUUUAUCCCUGUUAGUGGGUAUAGUCUUGGGUACUGUCCUAAAGUAACACUCCAUGUAAUCAGAGCUAUAACAUCCAGUAUAGGCUCCCCCAUGCAUGUUUUGUACUGUCCAGUCUAUGGCUGAAGUGGAACUGGGUGACCCAAGGGACUUAGAGGGCUGCUGCCCCUCUUGGGAGUACCCAGGUCACUGGGUUUGUAUCUGGGCACACUGAGCAGUGGCUUGUGUAUUUGGGACACUCCUCUGUGAAACCUUGGGUACUUGCUGGUUAUCCCAGAAUCCCAAAUAUGUGUGCUCAGUGCCUUCAGCUUCUGUUGGCUGUGGGUAUACAGGACUCAGGGCUGUUGCUGGUUGCUGUGGAUCACUGCACACCACUGGCCUGUCUAAACUUGUUGUGACUAUCUGUGACUGUGAUGUCAGUGUAUGCAUGCCUUUAUGGGUGUUCUAGGGACUUUCAUGGCAAGGAAGCCUCCAUCCUGCUGACACUGCCAGUUACCGGUGACAAGUUCUGCUUCCUCACAUGUUGAAGUUUGAAACUUAGAGAAGCACACUGAGGCAAGCAUAUAAAGCAGGGUUUAUUUUAAAAAG